GCCUAACACAUGCAAGUCGAGCGGUAACAGGAGUUGUAGAAAUACAAUUUGCUGACGAGCGGCGGACGGGUGAGGAACACGUAGGAACUUACCUUUUAGAGGGGGAUAACCAAGGGAAACUUUGGCUAAUACCGCAUAAACUCGGAAGAGGAAAGUUGCCUUGUAGAAAUGCGAGGUGACGCUAAGAGAGAGGCCUGCGUCCGAUUAGCUAGUUGGUAGGGUAAAAGCCUACCAAGGCGAUGAUUGGUAACUGGUCUGAGAGGACGGCCAGUCACACUGGGACUGAGACACGGCCCAGACUCCUACGGGAGGCAGCAGUGGGGAAUAUUGGACAAUGGGGGCAACCCUGAUCCAGCGAUGCCGCGUGGGUGAAGAAGGCCUUCGGGUUGUAAAGCCCUUUAGGUAGGGACGAAGUGAUGGCGAAGAUAAUGCGCUGUUAUUGACGGUACCUACAGAAUAAGCACCGGCAAACUCUGUGCCAGCCGCCGCGGUAA
rnacentral:rRNA from 1 species